UACGGGGGGAGCAAGCGUUGUUCGGAUUUACUGGGCGUAAAGGGCGCGUAGGCGGCCUCCGCAAGUCAGUUGUGAAAUCUCCGAGCUUAACUCGGAAAGGUCAACUGAUACUGCGGGGCUAGAGUGCGGAAGGGGCAACUGGAAUUCUUGGUGUAGCGGUGAAAUGCGCAGAUAUCAGGAGGAACACCGGUGGCGAAGGCGGGUCUCUGGGCCGAUACUGACGCUGAGGAGCGAAAGCGUGGGGAGCGAACAGG
rnacentral:rRNA from 1 species